rnacentral:rRNA from 1 species
AUGAACGCUGGCGGCGUGCUUAACACAUGCAAGUCGAACGAACCUUCGGGUUAGUGGCGGACGGGUGAGUAACGCGUGAGAAUCUGCCCUCAGGAGGGGGACAACAGCUGGAAACGGCUGCUAAUACCCCAUAUGCCGCGAGGUGAAAUGAAUUUCGCCUGAGGAUGAGCUCGCGUCUGAUUAGCUAGUUGGUGUAGGUAAUGGCUCACCAAGGCAUCGAUCAGUAGCUGGUCUGAGAGGAUGAUCAGCCACACUGGGACUGAGACACGGCCCAGACUCCUACGGGAGGCAGCAGUGGGGAAUUUUCCGCAAUGGGCGAAAGCCUGACGGAGCAACGCCGCGUGAGGGAUGAAGGCCUCUGGGCUGUAAACCUCUUUUAUCAAGGAAGAAGAUCUGACGGUACUUGAUGAAUAAGCCACGGCUAAUUCCGUGCCAGCAGCCGCGGUAAUACGGGAGUGGCAAGCGUUAUCCGGAAUUAUUGGGCGUAAAGCGUCCGCAGGCGGCCCCUCAAGUCUGCUGUUAAAAAGUGGAGCUUAACUCCAUCAUGGCAGUGGAAACUGUUGGGCUUGAGUGUGGUAGGGGCAGAGGGAAUUCCCGGUGUAGCGGUGAAGUGCGUAGAUAUCGGGAAGAACACCAGUGGCGAAAGCGCUCUGCUGGGCCAUCACUGACGCUCAUGGACGAAAGCCAGGGGAGCGAAAGGGAUUAGAUACCCCUGUAGUCCUGGCCGUAAACGAUGAACACUAGGUGUAGGGGGAAUCGACCCCCUCGGUGUCGUAGCCAACGCGUUAAGUGUUCCGCCUGGGGAGUACGCACGCAAGUGUGAAACUCAAAGGAAUUGACGGGGGCCCGCACAAGCGGUGGAGUAUGUGGUUUAAUUCGAUGCAACGCGAAGAACCUUACCAGGGUUUGACAUCCUGCGAAUCUCUUGGAAACGAGAGAGUGCCUUCGGGAACGCAGUGACAGGUGGUGCAUGGCUGUCGUCAGCUCGUGUCGUGAGAUGUUGGGUUAAGUCCCGCAACGAGCACAACCCACGUCUUUAGUUGCCAGCAUUCAGUUGGGCACUCUAGAGAGACCGCCGGUGAUAAACCGGAGGAAGGUGUGGAUGACGUCAAGUCAUCAUGCCCCUUACAUCCUGGGCUACACACGUACUACAAUGCUACGGACAAAGGGCAGCAAGUUCGCGAGGACAAGCAAAUCCCAUAAACCGUGGCUCAGUUCAGAUCGUAGGCUGCAACUCGCCUACGUGAAGGAGGAAUCGCUAGUAAUCGCAGGUCAGCAUACUGCGGUGAAUACGUUCCCGGGCCUUGUACACACCGCCCGUCACACCAUGGAAGUUGGCCACGCCCGAAGCCGUUACUCCAACCCUUGUGGAGGAGGACGUCGAAGGUGGGGCUGAUGACUGGGGUGA